GGUUGACCUCGGAUCAGGUAGGAAUACCCGCUGAACUUAAGCAUAUCAU
rnacentral:rRNA from 1 species